CCUACGGGGGGCUGCAGUGGGGAAUAUUGGACAAUGGGGGGAACCCUGAUCCAGCCAUGCCGCGUGUGUGAAGAAGGCCCUCGGGUUGUAAAGCACUUUCAGUGAGGAAGAACGCCUGGUGGUUAAUACCCAUCAGGAAAGACAUCACUCACAGAAGAAGCACCGGCUAACUCCGUGCCAGCAGCCGCGGUAAUACGGAGGGUGCGAGCGUUAAUCGGAAUUACUGGGCGUAAAGCGCGCGUAGGUGGCUUGAUAAGCCGGUUGUGAAAGCCCCGGGCUCAACCUGGGAACGGCAUCCGGAACUGUCAAGCUAGAGUGCAGGAGAGGUAGGCGGAAUUCCCGGUGUAGCGGUGAAAUGCGUAGAGAUCGGGAGGAAUACCAGUGGCGAAGGCGGCCUUCUGGACUGACACUGACACUGAGGUGCGCAAGCGUGGGUAGCAAACAGGAUUAGAUACCCGAGUAGUC
rnacentral:rRNA from 1 species